AAACUGUGUUGUCAGUGGCUGUCACUCAAAACAUGCCAGUGAUGUUCGGCUAUUUUCAAUCCCACUUUCUUAUGACAACAGAAACCCGGAUGAUUUUAAUAUUCUUAGUGAAAGAAGGUUGUUGUGGCUAAGUAGAUUACACAUUCAUGAGGGAGACCUCAAAAAGAAGUCAUUUGUGUGUCAUAAACAUUUUGUUUCGGGUAAACCAUCAUAUUACCAUGAUGUGGACAAUGUUGAUUGGGCACCAACACUUAACCUUGACAACAACUACUCUACUCGAUAUCAAAGAAGGAAGAGAUACAACAUCAACAGAGAUAAAUUGUGUAAUGUAAUG